UAGCCCAUAUCUGUGAUUCACUGUCAUUA
rnacentral:piRNA from 1 species